rnacentral:lncRNA from 1 species
GCAGAAGUAACAUUCCUUUGAACACUCAGCUUUCUGAAAUGGUGUCCCACCGCAAGGACUGGAGAAGGGCUGGAGUCCAAUGGUGCGAUGUCUGCUUACUGCAACCUCUGCCUCCCGGGUUCAAGCGAUUCUCCUGUCUCAGCCUCCUGAGGAGAUGGGACUACAGGCACCCUUGGAAAUGCAAUGCUACAUCUCAAUGGGAUUUUCCAGUACAAAGAUUCUUUUCAAAUAACAUAAUUGUGGAUACACACCACUCCUACAGUGGUAAACCUCAGGUUCUCCUCCUGCCUUUUGCUAAGUAUAUGUCUUGAUGACAAGCCUUCUGCUGAUGAGCUGUGUUUCUGGACCGAUCAUGGUAGAAGUCAAUUAACGUGUCCCUCACUUGGGGUUUCUCAAGGCUGCACUGAUGAGGAAACUGAAACAGAAAAUCCAGAGUAAAUUCCACCAGGCCACACAGCAAGGUCUGAUAGAGCCAGGAGAGACUUUAUGAAAUCCAGACUCUCACACUAAUGCUCUAUCAGCUAGACCUCCAUGUGAGUCUCCCCAAUGUAGGUAGGAAGUGCUUUCCCUAAAAUGCUCAUAAAGCAAAUCAGAGCAAUGCUGCAUUCCAUGUGAUUUCUAAUUUGAAAUGCAAACAAUUGCCAAUUUGUUUGACUUGUAUUUAUAAU